CGGCUCCUUUACCCGAUCCACGACCGCGUCCGCAGCCCCAGCCCGAUCCGCCGCCUGACGAAGAGCCGAUUAAAU
rnacentral:ncRNA from 55 species